rnacentral:rRNA from 1 species
UACGUAGGGGUGCGAGCGUUGUCCGGAAUUACUGGGCGUAAAGAGCUCGUAGGUGGUUUUGUCGCGUUUGUCCGUGAAAACUCACAACUCAAUUGUGGGCGUGCGGGCGAUACGGGCAGACUGGAGUACUGCAGGGGAGACUGGAAUUCCUGGUGUAGCGGUGGAAUGCGCAGAGUAUCAGGAGGAACACCGGUGGCGAAGGCGGGUCUCUGGGCAGUGAACUGACGUGGAGGAGCGAAAGCGUGGGGAGCGAACAGGA